rnacentral:lncRNA from 1 species
ACUAUUGACUAAACAGAGAUUAUAACCAUGGCAACCUUUACAUCACUUGACACAUGAAUAUGGAGCACAGCCUUCCUGGUGGGGAGAUGUGCUGCUCUGUGUAUGUACCCUGUAUGCUGCUAUAAGACGUGUGUAAACAGACACUCACGUGACUCAGCCAACAACUUCUUUCCUUAAAGAGGAUGGGUUGAGUAAGUUCAUCCUGUGGCUCUGACUAGAGAAGAUAGAGUCCUUAUUAACCUUUAGAUUAGAAAAAUUAAAUAUAUUAGUUUCCUAGAAUCUAGGUGAUUGCCCAAUAAAUAGGAGGAGAACAAGUUAAAGUUAAAGAAAGAAAAGCAGAUAAAUAGCAGAGCAAGAGGCAGGAUGCAUCAUGCCUCGGUCACUACAUGUUUGCAGGGUUUUGUUAAAAACAAUGGUAUGACGAACAGAGUGCAUCUCAUCCUAACAUAGAUCCUAAAUUAAAUCCAUCAAACUGUCAACUCUCACUUCUAAAGUAAAAUUUCCUUCAAUCCUGCCUAAGAGAUAGUUUCUACCAAAUCUAUAUUUCCAAAAAUAUUAUGCAAUGUUUAUAUAUUAGAAUUACACAUAGUACUUGAACUUAUCUUUUUUUUUCACUUAAAGUACCUGGGAUAUAUUCCCAGGUAUGUGUGAGUGGUUUCUUUCUUUUCUUUUUUAAGUCUAUCAGCUAGAUCUCUGGGAGGCCAGCAGGGAAUGGGAGAUUCUCCGGCCUUCCUGCUGCAGGUAGGCAAGGGAAUGAAUGGGCACUGGAGUCACAGAUGCCAGAGCUGAAAGGAAUAUUAAAUGGGGCUUAAUUUAGCCCCUUAUUAAAUGAUGAAAAAAUGAGGGUCCAGAGACCAGAAUCCACAUCUUCUAAUUCCUCAUCUAAUAUAGUUUUUACUAUGCCACACUGCAUACAGUAUAAAACAGAUAUUAAUAAGUGCUUUUCAAAGAGCUUCCACCUUGCCAACCUUUUGUUUCAGCCUUAUCCUCCUUAGCUGUUUUUGUGCUGCUGAUAAAGACACACCCGAAACUGGUCAAUUUACAAAAGAAAGAGGUUUAAUGGACUUACAGUUCCAUGUGACUGGGAAAGCCUGAUUUUAAAAUAAAUUAAAACAUUUUCUUUAGCUAGGGGUGGUGAUGCACACCUGUAGUCCCAGCUACUCAGGGCUCAGCAGUCUCAGGGAAGCAGACGUGCAAGCAAGCCAUUUGGUGGCUGGCAAUCAGGGCUAUGACUAAAGUCUGUUACUGGUUCUACAAGAGCAUGGAGGGGUCAGCUCCUAACUCUACAGACAGUGGGAGGACAGCUUUGUGAAAGGAGCAUUGCUCAAGUGGCUGUUUAAGCCAGCAUUUUUCAGCAAUUUUGUGUUUGAGGCCCACUUUCAAAUUUUAUAAUUUCUUGAUAAAUUAACAAAUUAAGAACACUGGG